GGACGAACGCUGGCGGCGUGCCUAACACAUGCAAGUCGAGCGGAGAUAUUCUCUGGAAGUUUUCGGAUGGAAGGGGAAUAUUUUAGCGGCGGACGGGUGAGUAACGCGUGAGCGAUCUGCCUUACACAGGGGGAUAACGUGGGGAAACCCACACUAAUACCGCAUAAGACUACACAGUCGCAUGGCAGGGGGGUCAAAGGAGAGAUCCGGUGUAAGAUGAGCUCGCGUCCUAUUAGAUAGUUGGUGAGGUAACGGCCCACCAAGUCAACGAUGGGUAGCCGACCUGAGAGGGUGAUCGGCCACAUUGGAACUGAGAGACGGUCCAAACUCCUACGGGAGGCAGCAGUGGGGAAUAUUGGGCAAUGGGGGGAACCCUGACCCAGCAACGCCGCGUGAGGGAAGAAGGUUUUCGGAUUGUAAACCUCUGUCCUUGUUGAAGAGUUGAAGACGGUAGGCAAGGAGGAAGCCCCGGCUAACUACGUGCCAGCAGCCGCGGUAAUACGUAGGGGGCGAGCGUUGUCCGGAAUGAUUGGGCGUAAAGGGCGCGUAGGCGGCUGUUCAAGUCUGGAGUGAAAGUCCUAUUUUCAAGGUAGGAAUGGCUUUGGAAACUGAGCAGCUUGAGUGCAGGAGAGGUUAUCGGAAUUCCCGGUGUAGCGGUGAAAUGCGUAGAGAUCGGGAGGAACACCAGUGGCGAAGGCGGGUAACUGGACUGCAACUGACGCUGAGGCGCGAAAGUGUGGGGAGCAAGCAGGAUUAGAUACCCUGGUAGUCCACACUGUAAACGAUGAAUGCUAGGUGUAGGGUGUAUCGACCCCUUCUGUGCCGGAGUUAACGCAAUAAGCAUUCCGCCUGGGGAGUACGGCCGCAAGGUUA
rnacentral:rRNA from 1 species